CGCGCUCUGUAGGAUUCGAACCCACGACAUCAGGUUUUGGAGACCUACGUUCUACCGAACUGAACUAAAAGCGC
rnacentral:tRNA from 1 species